AGUGAACGCUGGCGGUAGGCCUAACACAUGCAAGUCGAACGGCAGCACAGGAGAGCUUGCUCUCUGGGUGGCGAGUGGCGGACGGGUGAGGAAUACAUCGGAAUCUACCUUUUCGUGGGGGAUAACGUAGGGAAACUUACGCUAAUACCGUAUACGACCUACGGGUGAAAGUGGGGGACUGCAAGGACUCACGCGAUGAGAUGAGCAGAUGUCCGAUUAGCUAGUUGGGGGGGUAAUGGCACACCAAGGCGACGAUCGGUGGGUGGUCUGAGAGGAUGAUCUGCCACACUGGAACUGAGACACGGUCCAGACUCCUACGGGAGGCAGCAGUGGGGAAUAUUGGACAAGGGGCGCAAGCCUGAUCCAGCCAUACCGCGUGGAUGAAGAAGGCCUUCGGGUUGUAAAGCCCUUUUGUUGGGAAAGAAAUCCUGUCGAUUAAUACUCGGUGGGGAUGACGGUACCCAAAGAAUAAGCACCGGCCAACUUCGUGCCAGCCGCCGCCGUAAUAC
rnacentral:rRNA from 1 species